GAUGAAGAACGCAGCGAAAUGCGAUAAGUAAUGUGAAUUGCAGAAUUCAGUGAAUCAUCGAAUCUUUGAACGCACAUUGCGCCCCCUGGUAUUCCGGGGGCAUGCCUGUUCGAGCGUCAUUUCACCACUCAAGCCUCGCUUGGUAUUGGGCAACGCGGUCCGCCGCGUGCCUCAAAUCGACCGGCUGGGUCUUCUGUCCCCUAAGCGUUGUGGAAACUAUUCGCUAAAGGGUGUUCGGGAGGCUACGCCGUAAAACAAACCCAUUUCUAAGGUUGACCUCGGAUCAGGUAGGGAUACCCGCUGAACUUAAGCAUAUCAAUAAGCGGAGGA
rnacentral:misc_RNA from 1 species